GAUUUAUCUCCACGUACACCGACACGACACGGCAGAGACAAAAAAAAAAAAAAAAACCGCACAGGCGAACCAUAUGUGCUAAUACUGUAGAAUUAGAUACGACCCCGUGGGUAGGACAUAUACGUUCUAGGAAGCGUCUGACUGGACAAACGGAGCACAGGUACAGGAUGAGUCAUCGAAACUUCCUGGAAAUGACGAGCUGCAACAUUCAAAUGAGAACAUCUCCAAAACUACACAUCAUUUUUUCCCUAGGUUAUAUUGGUGUCUAACACACACUCUGAAACACAAGUUUUGAUUUCAGGGGAACUUCUAGAGAAGUUUUGUCUAAACAUUUAUAUAGGAAAUGAGUGCAUCUCUCCAUCUGCGCUCAUAGAAAAACACCCUGACCACAGCUGUCUCCAAACCAGAAAUCUGACUCUAAGAAUAAAGAAAUAAACCAAAGCGUUAGGCAAGAAUAAAGAAAUAAACCCAAAAUAGAGGGAAAACUAUAACGGAAGACUCAAAACUCAGAUUUCUGGAGCCAAAUUAAAACUCACUCCUUUUUAUGAACACCAAUAGGUAACUAAAUAAUUCAAGCAUCUUCAAUAUGUCCUGAAAUCACGGGGGUUCGAGGAGUGCAGCGCUGAUCGAUCGGCACUCGGGAGGAGAUUCGCUGGUGUCCGAGCGUUAAAUUCCCAAGUUCUUUACAAAUACCUGCUCAAAACUGUUCCUCGUAGCGGUUAUAGUCCAAUUACUGCACGCCCCAAACGGCACUGUUAUUAAGCUAAACGUAAAAGUGUGUGAGCUGUUCAUAUAAAACAAAUCAACGACAGAGCGGUGUGUUACGACCCUGACACGGAGUGGACUCGCCGUUCUCACACGGAGGUGGAUUAUUUAUUUGACGGAGUGUUUUAUUCCUCUUCCACCACGGCUGAUCGCUACAAAGUGCUGACACUCGAGAGUCCUUCCAUGAAUGCUAGCUAAAUGCUAAUCUCCUUACAGAAAACUUCAUCAAAUCAAUGAUUACACGCGCUUUUAAUCUGUUUAUGUGGAGCGUCUGCUGUACAAGUCCCUGUGAAUGACCCGUUACUGCUACGCUAAGUGAAUCAGUGCCGCGGCAGGGUAAACACACACACACACACACACACACACACGUGCAUUAUUAUAACUCCGUAUCUGUUCACAUCCAACACAGACGGUGCUAAUGAAAUAAAAUCAGUCACACACAUGGUGUAAAAAGAUGCCAACAUGGCAGUUUGUGCUAGAGAAAGUAGUUACCUGUGUUCCAGUGAGAGUAUAAAUCCAGCAGAACGAUGGUACUCCCUUCCUUUGACGCCGUCUUGUCCGUCUGAGUAACUUCAAGCGAAACAAAGUGAACAUUAUUAACAAAAAUGGAGAAGUGAAACAAGCGGCAUGUGAAGCAAGACUACAUAAGCAAUGCAGUAGCUCUCUGAAACCACAACUGUUUUGGUUUCUUGGUCUUUCCCCCACUUCGGUCAUUCUAAAAAUGACUAAAAACACCUACAAGCUACAGUAAGAACCUGUGUUAAAAGAGGCACUGGUGUCCUAAACCAGGCCCUAAAUAAAUAAAUUAAUUAAUUUAAUUUAAAUAAAAAUAAAAUAAAAUAAAAUAAAAUAAAAUAAAUAAAGACCAGUAUCCAAAAUGAGAGUAAAAUAUGCUAACUGAAGGCACUGGUGUCCUAAAAGUGGUUAAGAGUAGCCAAAUUGAGGCAGCGGCGUCCUGAAAGGAGCGAAACGGAGGCAGCGGCGUCCUGAAAGGAGCGAAACGGAGGCAGCGGCGUCCUGAAAGGAGCGAAACGGAGGCAGCGGCGUCCUGAAAGAAGCGAAACGGAGGCAGCGGCGUCCUGAAAGAAGCAAAAAGUAGCUAGCGGUGAUCAACAGCAAACCCCUAUUAUAAUAUUGUAUAUUAUUAUAUUAUAUACUGAUUACUGACUCAUAAUUUCAAAGAAGUGUUACAGACAACCAAUUAAACACAAAGGUCAUCUUCCAUCAUUCAAGAACGGUGUUAAUUGUUCAUCCAGCUCCGUACAGAUGUUCUGCAGUGGUGUUCAGAGAUGGGAUCCCAUGUGUGUAAGACAUAGUAUACCGAUGGGCCUAAACAUUACGACCACUCACACAUGAAGUGAAUAAUGUUUAUUAGUUAGUUGCCAUGGCGCAUGUCAAGGUCUGGGAAAUAUUAGACGCUACACGGACAGUCGGUUCUCAUGGUCUACGUGUUGGAUGCGGGAGAACCGGACAGGUCUUUGACAAGGUCCGAUCGUAAUGACCACACGACGGCGCAUUUCUGGGUCGGGGCAUUUCUGAAAUGGCAAGGCUUGUGGAGUGUUCCCAAUCAGCAGGGGUGAGUACCUACCGACAGUGCUCCAAGGAGGGACCCUCUUUUACCCCCCUUCAACCCCUCUCUCUCGCCGCACCCACCCCUUCAACCCCUCUCUCUC
ensembl:lncRNA